CGGGAAACCGGAGCUAAUGCCGGAUAACAUUUGGAACCGCAUGGUUCUAAAGUAAAAGAUGGUUUUGCUAUCACUUAUAGAUGGACCCGCGCCGUAUUAGCUAGUUGGUAAGGUAACGGCUUACCAAGGCAACGAUACGUAGCCGACCUGAGAGGGUGAUCGGCCACACUGGAACUGAGACACGGUCCAGACUCCUACGGGAGGCAGCAGUAGGGAAUCUUCCGCAAUGGACGAAAGUCUGACGGAGCAACGCCGCGUGAGUGAUGAAGGUUUUCGGAUCGUAAAACUCUGUUAUUAGGGAAGAACAAAUGUGUAAGUAACUGUGCACAUCUUGACGGUACCUAAUCAGAAAGCCACGGCUAACUACGUGCCAGCAGCCGCGGUAAUACGUAGGUGGCAAGCGUUAUCCGGAAUUAUUGGGCGUAAAGCGCGCGUAGGCGGUUUCUUAAGUCUGAUGUGAAAGCCCACGGCUCAACCGUGGAGGGUCAUUGGAAACUGGGAAACUUGAGUACAGAAGAGGAAAGUGGAAUUCCAUGUGUAGCGGUGAAAUGCGCAGAGAUAUGGAGGAACACCAGUGGCGAAGGCGACUUUCUGGUCUGUAACUGACGCUGAUGUGCGAAAGCGUGGGGAUCAAACAGGAUUAGAUACCCUGGUAGUCCACGCCGUAAAC
rnacentral:rRNA from 1 species